UCCCCAUUUCCAUUUCCUUAUUCCAUCUUGUACCUUGUAAAGAAAACUUAGAGAGACAAGGAAGUCUAGAGAGAGAAAGAGUGUAAGAAAGGGUAAAAAGGAGAAAAAGAGUUAUUCAACUUCGUUCAAAGAUCUAUAAAUGCAAGUACUCACCUCUUCACCUCCUAAAAAGAUGAAUCACUCUCGAAAAGCUUAAGGUUUCAGUAAGGAAUUUCUUGAGCAUGUUCUCUUAUAUUUCU
rnacentral:lncRNA from 1 species